AUUGAACGCUGGCGGCAGGCUUAACACAUGCAAGUCGAACGCGUGGCGGACGGGUGUGUAAUGCUUGGGAAUCUAGCUUAUGGAGGGGGCAACCUACGGGAAACUGUAGCUAAUACCGCGUACCAUAGGAUGAGCCCAAGUGGGAUUAGGUAGUUGGUGAGGUAAAGGCUCACCAAGCAGACGAUCUCUAGCUGGUCUGAGAGGGUGACCAGCCACACUGGGACUGAGACACGACCCAGACUCCUACGGGAGGCAGCAGUGGGGAAUAGUGCGCAAUGGGGGCAACCUGACGCAGCCAUGCCGCGUGAAUGAAGAAGGCCUUCGGGUUGUAAAGUUCUUUCGGUAGCGAGGCGUUAACUACAGAAGAAGCACCGGCUAACUCCGUGCCAGCAGCCGCGGUAAUUC
rnacentral:rRNA from 1 species